AAUUGGAGAGUUUGAUUCUGGCUCAGAACGAACGCUGGCGGCGUGGUUCAGGCAUGCAAGUCGAACGGUCCCGCAAGGGACAGUGGCAGAAGGGUUAGUAACACGUGGGCAAUCUACCCUAGAGUCGGGGAUAACAUCUCGAAAGAGGUGCUAAUACCCGAUGACAUUAUCGGAUGGCAUCAUCUGAUCAUCAAAGGUAGCUCGCAAGAGCUUCCGCUUUUGGAGGAGCCCGCGGCCUAUCAGCUAGUUGGCGAGGUAACGGCUCACCAAGGCUUUUGACGGGUAGCUGGUCUAAGAGGACGAUCAGCAACAUUGGGACUGAGACACUGCCCAGACUCCUACGGGAGGCUGCAGUCGAGGAUCUUUAGCAAUGCCCGAAAGGGUGACUAUGCGACGCCGCGUGCAGGAUGAAGGCCUUCGGGUUGUAAACUGCUGUCAGGGGGGAAGAAACCUUGCGUGUGAAUAGCACGUAAGCUGACAUCACCCCCAAAGGAAGCCACGGCUAACUCUGUGCCAGCAGCCGCGGUAAGACAGAGGUGGCAAGCGUUGUUCGGAUUUAUUGGGUGUAAAGGGCAGGUAGGUGGCUUUGUGGCUUUGCAAGUCCGGUGUGAAAUCCCAGGGCUCAACCCUGGAACUGCAUUGGAAACUGCAUGGCUUGAAUAUCGGAGAGGUGAGGGGAAUUCUCGGUGUAAGGGUGAAAUCUGUAGAUAUCGAGAGGAACACCAGUGGCGAAGGCGCCUCACUGGCCGAUGAUUGACACUGAGCUGCGAAAGCAAGGGGAGCAAACAGGAUUAGAUACCCUGGUAGUCCUUGCCGUAAACGAUGUGGAUUAGGUAUCGGGGGUGUCGAUCCCUCCGGCGCCGACGCUAACGCAUUAAAUCCACCACCUGGGGAGUACGGUCGCAAGACUGAAACUCAAAGAAAUUGACGGGGACCCGCACAAGCGGUGGAGCAUGUGGUUUAAUUCGAGGCUACGCGAAGAACCUUACCCAGGCUUGAAAUGUAUUUGACAGCCCAUGAAAGUGGGUCUUCUCGCAAGAGACAAUUACACAGGUGCUGCAUGGCUGUCGUCAGCUCGUGCUGUGAAGUGUUGGGUUAAGUCCCGCAACGAGCGCAACCUUUGUCCUUAGUUGCCAUCACGUCAUGGUGGGCACUCUAGGGAGACUGCCGGUGAUAAACUGGAGGAAGGAGGAGACGACGUCAAGUCAGUAUGGCCCUUAUGCCUGGGGCUACACACGUGCUACAAUGGCCGAGACAAAGGGCAGCUAACCCGCGAGGGGGCGCUAAUCCCAAAAAAACGGCCUCAGUUCAGAUUGAAGGCUGCAACUCGCCUUCAUGAAGUCGGAAUCGCUAGUAACGGUAGAUCAGCUACGCUACCGUGAAUACGUUCCCGGGUCUUGUACACACCGCCCGUCAAGCCACCUGAGUUGGGAGCACGCGAAAUCGUUGAUCUAACCCGCAAGGGAAGAAGACGCCUAAGGUGAGACCAGUAAGGAGGGCUAAGUCGUAACAAGGUAACCGUACCGGAAGGUGCGGUUGGAUCACCUCCUUUCUA
rnacentral:rRNA from 1 species